rnacentral:rRNA from 1 species
UACGAAGGGGGCUAGCGUUGCUCGGAAUCACUGGGCGUAAAGGGUGCGUAGGCGGGUCUUUUAAGUCAGGGGUGAAAUCCUGGAGCUCAACUCCAGAACUGCCUUUGAUACUGAGGAUCUUGAGUUCGGGAGAGGUGAGUGGAACUGCGAGUGUAGAGGUGAAAUUCGUAGAUAUUCGCAAGAACACCAGUGGCGAAGGCGGCUCACUGGUCCAUUACUGACGCUGAGGUGCGAAAGCGUGGGGAGCAAACAGGG